UUCCUCCCUUUUCCCCUGCACCCAGCAUCCAGCCCAGAGAGGGGGCUGCUUAUCAGGGGAAGUGCUGAGAUAAAUCCCCAAUAAUCUCUGCUUGCUGUGUGUAAAGGGCAGUGGCUCUGCAUGUUAUUUUCUCACCUCUUUGGUGAGCUGAUGGAAAAUCAAGUCAUAUUCCUCUUCCAGUCCCUGCUCUGACAGAGGCCAAGCUGCUGUGUUUGGGUGUGGGAUGCUGUGGGAAGAUGUACUGGUGUAAUUACCUACAACAUACCAGCAAUCCACCUGCCUGGGGAACUGCAGAAAUUGCAGCUUUCCUCAAUAAAAACUACCCUUUGAUGGCACCUGGGCUGCCCAGAUCCUCCCUAGUGCUAGUGGAAAGAGGAUUGCUAACAUCUAACCUGUCCCUUCCUCUCCUUCUCACGCCGGAUGCAGGGAACAGCUUUCUCUCCCACUUUGCAGCCAUCACCAGCUGCAUUUGCAGACUCACUUUUGCCCUUGACACUCUCUUCUCUGGGUUAAGCAACUCAAAUUCAUUCAACCUUUUGUAUUCCCCAGAUCUUCUGGACUGACUUCAUUGAAUUCAUUAGUGGGUUCUUAGGCCAGGAGGAGGGAAGACCCUGCCUGAGCCCCAGGCCCAUCGCUGGAGGGAAAGCUGAGACCUGCGGUGGAUUUUAAUGGGAGUGGAUGGGGCAGAGCUCCUGAAAUACCUUGUCAUCACCACCCAGAAACGUUGAGCCUCCAGGGCUGAAGGGACAAGGAAGCGAGCAGAAAUACCUGGGGGAUGCUCACCUCCAUAAAUAGACUCUGAAAA